AUUAAAGCGGUACGCGAGCUGGGUUCAGAACGUCGUGAGACAGUUCGGUCCCUAUCCGUCGCAGGCGAAAGAUACUUGAGAAGAGCUGUCCCCAGUACGAGAGGACCGGGAUGGACACACCGAUGGUGAAUCAGUUGUUCCACCAGGAGCAUAGCUGAGUAGCUAAGUGUGGAAAAGAUAAGCGCUGAAAGCAUCUAAGCGUGAAACAGACUUCAAGAUUAGGUAUCUCACUUUGUUAAGAAGGUAAGAUCCCUUAAAGAUGAUAAGGUAGAUAGGCCAGAGGUGUAAGUGUAGUAAUACAUUAAGCUAACUGGUACUAAUAGAUCGAGGGCUUAAUCAU
rnacentral:ncRNA from 1 species